rnacentral:rRNA from 1 species
GAUCCUGGCUCAGGACGAACGCUGGCGGCGUGCCUAACACAUGCAAGUCGAACGGAAGUUAGAGCUUCGGUUUUAACUUUAGUGGCGAACGGGUGAGUAACGCGUGAGGAACCUGCCUUUCAGUGGGGGACAACAGUUGGAAACGACUGCUAAUACCGCAUGAUGCUUUUGGGAGACAUCUCCCGGAAGCCAAAGCUUUAUGUGCUGAAAGAUGGCCUCGCGUCUGAUUAGCUAGUUGGUGAGGUAACGG